UACGUAGGGGCCAAGCGUUGUCCGGAUUUAUUGGGCGUAAAGAGCUCGUAGGCGGUUCGGUAAGUCGGAUGUGAAAUCUCCACGCUCAACGUGGAGGGGCCAUUCGAUACUGCCGUGACUCGAGUCCGGUAGGGGAGUGUGGAAUUCCCGGUGUAGCGGUGAAAUGCGCAGAGAUCGGGAGGAACACCCGUAGCGAAGGCGGCACUCUGGGCCGGUACUGACGCUGAGGAGCGAAAGCGUGGGGAGCAAACAGG
rnacentral:rRNA from 1 species